UACGUAGGGUGCGAGCGUUGUCCGGAAUUAUUGGGCGUAAAGAGCUUGUAGGCGGUUUGUCGCGUCUGCUGUGAAAUCUCAAGGCUCAACCUUGAGCUUGCAGUGGGUACGGGCAGACUAGAGUGUGGUAGGGGAGACUGGAAUUCCUGGUGUAGCGGUGAAAUGCGCAGAUAUCAGGAGGGAACACCCGGUGGCGAAGGCGGGUCUCUGGGCCGAUACUGACGCUGGAGGAGCGAAAGCGUUGGGGAGCAAACAGGAUUAGACUACCCU
rnacentral:rRNA from 1 species